rnacentral:rRNA from 1 species
UCGGAUGGCAUCAUUUGAUUAUUAAAGUUCCAACGGUAAAAGAUGAGUAUGCGUCCCAUUAGCUAGAUGGUAAGGUAACGGCUUACCAUGGCUACGAUGGGUAGGGGUCCUGAGAGGGAGAUCCCCCACACUGGUACUGAGACACGGACCAGACUCCUACGGGAGGCAGCAGUGAGGAAUAUUGGACAAUGGGCGCAAGCCUGAUCCAGCCAUGCCGCGUGCAGGAAGAAGGUCCUAUGGAUUGUAAACUGCUUUUAUACAGGAAGAAACACCUCUACGUGUAGAGACUUGACGGUACUGUAUGAAUAAGCACCGGCUAACUCCGUGCCAGCAGCCGCGGUAAUACGGAGGGUGCAAGCGUUAUCCGGAAUCAUUGGGUUUAAAGGGUCCGUAGGCGGCCGAAUAAGUCAGUGGUGAAAGCCCAUCGCUCAACGAUGGAACGGCCAUUGAUACUGUUUGGCUUGAAUUAUUAGGAAGUAACUAGAAUAUGUAGUGUAGCGGUGAAAUGCUUAGAGAUUACAUGGAAUACCAAUUGCGAAGGCAGGUUACUACUAAUAUAUUGACGCUGAUGGACGAAAACGUGGGGAGCGAACAGGAUUAGAUACCCUGGUAGUCCACGCCGUAAACGAUGGAUACUAGCUGUUCGGAGCAAUCUGAGUGGCUAAGCGAAAGUGAUAAGUAUCCCACCUGGGGAGUACGU